GCGGCGGGAGGGCUUGGGCUAAUGAUCGUACUCUGGUGAUAGAUGGUUAUAACCUGUAAGGUAGGAAAUUUGUUUCUUAGGCUUAAUUAAGCUUGCGCUUGGAACAGUGGCUCUGGAUUUUUCUGACUUCAAGGUACCGAAGUGAUUUAGAAUUCGGAAAUAACGAUACCAUUUAGCUUGGAGAGCAGGUGUGCUUUGCCUGUACCUCUCAGCUGCACGUGUUUAAAGCCUGCUCUAUCCUUAGGCAUCUUUGUGAGCUAAUUCGUGUAACUUUCUGACAUCUUUGAUACAUCUUAGUUUGUAGAGUAAAAAUAUGCUGCCAAAACAUUAGCUGUUCUACACGGAAAUAACUUGGGAGCUAUCCAGGUACUUUGGUCUUGGUUCCGCAGAGCUGGCUGUUUGUCACCAAAAUCAAAAGGGGUCUGUCCGAGAACAGAGGUCCACCCUUGGCUAAUUUAUAGAACAGCAUGGUUCUCUUCUGCUCUGCAGAGGUAUAACGUUGGACUAGCAUGUGCUGAAAGUUGGCAGAAAUGAGCAAAGAGCAAAUUCUCAUUUUACAGCAUUCUCUCCUAGGUUAUAUUUGAUUGAAAGAGUCUCAUUUUAUUAUCCAUCCUGAAUGCCUAUGUGCUGCGUGCAAUUCUCUAACCUUUUCUAACCUCUGGCUCAGUUUACCAGUUGCGUGUACACAUUAUAAAGUAGGCAUUUUUCACCAUUGCCUUGAAGGACAAUUAUUGUGUGAAGUUUCAUGUGAGCUUCCCUUUUUAGAAAAGAAAAAAUCUUAAGAAAUGUUGAGGAGACAGAGUUGAUAAAGCAAACUUGUGAUGUUUCCUGAAUGGCUUUGUUUAGUGUCUUGAGGUGAGAAAUUUCUCUCUUGAGCAAGAGGAACUCUUUUGAUGUUUUAACAGAAUAGGUUUUUCAGUGUGAAAGUUAAACGUUCUCAGUGAGUUACUUAUUAUUUGAAGCCAAUGGAGUUUGAGAUGCUAUUGUACAAGGUACUGUACAAACAGUUCUGUUUCUGCCUUGUAGACUAUAGAGGUCUGGCCUUGUUUUGUCAGAGUUGGAUUCUCCCUACAAAUUAAUCUCUUCUCCCGCCUCUUCCCGAGUCUUCAAAAUUCAGGUGGUUCUGUGCUGCAUGGCUUCCAGUGCCUUAAAUUACAAGGCUGUGGUGCUAUAUUUGGAAAAGCUAAUGGAGAUGUAAAUGUAAUUUCCAGAUAAGAAAGUAAAGCAAGACUAAGAGGAUUCAGUACAUAACAGCGAAACCCAAUUGUGUUCCUACAACACAGAGAGUAUCAGUCUGUAGGCUCUAUUCUGCUUCAAAAUUGGCAGUAGGUUAUUAGUAGAACCCUUGCAAAAUUAAUUGUUUUUGUUGACUAUUAUAAAUUAAAAAAUGGCCUGUUUUCUUCUACUCUGUUUUUUAUUUUCACAGUACAGGCUAACAGUUAAAUCAUCAGAAUUUCUGCAUAUGGCAAACUACAGAUGCAUCUUCUGCCAUGUUCUCCUUUUAGGUUCCAGUUUAUAUAAGCUCCUGAGCCACUGUGGAGACUGACUUUCAGAACAAAACAUGAUCUUUGUGCUAACAGUUUGGAAUCAGCCAGGUAGCAUUUCUGCAGCAGUAAACAGUGGUGUAACUGCAAAUUGUUCUCUGCAGGUACCAGCAAGAUACUUUAAUAAACCUGUCUGAUUUUAAAGCAGAAAUGUAUUUCCCCUUUUCCCUCAACAACCUUUUCCUUUGGUGUGCAGAAAUAAUUAAUACCCUAUGGUUGCUUAUGUGUUGGCGCCAACGUUCUUGAUGGCUAAAGAAACUGAAGUAACCAUAGGAAAAAUACAGAAGUGACAUCAUGAACUGGGUAGAAUACUAACAAUUUUGAUGAUGGGUGCAAGCAGUCAGAGGGAAAUGGCAGUUUUUAAACAAUGUAUAAUACAGUCAAAUCUGAAUUGCAUUUCAUGAGACAAAAAAUAAAUGCCUGUAUUGAAAAGACAUGUCCCAUAACGGUUGAUUUUAAGGUCCAGGUUAAAAACAGAAAGGUUUGAGUUUCUUGGACAACCAAAUGUAUGAAAGCUUUAUGUUGUUGGUCAGUUUAACUAUGUGCUGCUGCUUUCUGUCUGUGAUACCUAUAUGACUCCCAUUAAUACAGUCUCCAAGAGAGAUUGAUUCAAUAAUCUUUACAAUACCUUUGUGUUAAAAGUAAAGUGAUUAUAUUAAAAUCAUAAUUAUUUUAAAUUUAGAAGUGCUGUAAUUAAAUGAAAAAUUAUUACCCCUU